GUUUAAGCUGAUAUGAUAAAGAAACAAUAAGAAUGGAAGUAAAGAAGUUGAAAUAUGAAGAAAUUUGAAGACAAGUGUGGCUGACGACAUUUGUGAUAAGUCAUCAGCCUUGUGAUAAGUUAUCAAAGUUGUCAUCAGCAGUAAAUAGAGAAUUGGCCUAUGUUGAAAAAUGUUACAACAUUUUGUGAUAAGUCGUCAAGGGUCUGAUAAGCUGUCAAGAAUGUUGUCAGCCUGAGGCAGCAUAGGAGAACUGAAGUAGAGUUGACGAUAUUUUAUGAUAGGGCAUCACGAAGCUGAUAAGUUGUCAAGUUUGUUGUCAGCCUUAAAUAGGAAGAGCCAAAGCUGAAGAAGGAGCUGACGACAUUUGUGAUAAGUUGUCAGCCUAUUGAUCGGCUAUCACAAAUGUUGUCACCUAAUUUGAGGGAUUUCUGAAUUCUGUUAUUUUAUUUCCAUAAUUAGGGUGAACUAUUUAAAUCUUUGUUUUAGGGUUUUCUGAUGAGAUCGACACAUUGAGUUUUGAUAAUACUUUUUUAUAUUUUUCUCUCUCUAAUUUCUUGGUUUGAAAAAGCAAAUACUUUGAAGUGAUUAUUAUCAUUAUUCUGGGA
rnacentral:lncRNA from 1 species